GGGGAAUAUUGCACAAUGGGCGAAAGCCUGAUGCAGCAACGCCGCGUGAGUGAAGAAGGUCUUCGGAUCGUAAAGCUCUGUUGUCGGGGACGAAUGUUGAGACCAAGAACAUAGGUUUCAAAUGACGGUACCUGACGAGGAAGCCACGGCUAACUACGUGCCAGCAGCCGCGGUAAUACGUAGGUGGCGAGCGUUGUCCGGAAUUAUUGGGCGUAAAGGGAGCGCAGGCGGGAAGGUAAGUCUAUCUUAAAAGUGCGGGGCUCAACCCCGUGAGGGGAUAGAAACUAUCAUUCUUGAGUGCAGGAGAGGAAAGCGGAAUUCCUAGUGUAGCGGUGAAAUGCGUAGAUAUUAGGAGGAACACCAGUGGCGAAGGCGGCUUUCUGGACUGUAACUGACGCUGAGGCUCGAAAGCCAGGGGAGCGAAC
rnacentral:rRNA from 1 species